rnacentral:tRNA from 1 species
GGGGAAUUAGCUCAAAUGGUAGAGCGCUCGCUUAGCAUGCGAGAGGCACGGGGAUCAAUGCCUCGAUUCUCCA